GAACUGAUGGAUGAUAGGGUUAGCGCGUGGGACUUUUAAUCCCAAGGCUGUGAGUUCGAGUCUCACGUCGGGCGAGGCA
rnacentral:tRNA from 1 species